rnacentral:rRNA from 1 species
CGCGUAGGCGGUCUUCCCCGUCCGGGGUGAAAUCUUUCGGCCCAACCGGAAAAGGGCCCCGGAAACAGGAAGACUGGAGGGGGAUAGGGGCGGACGGAACUUCCGGUGGAGCGGUGAAAUGCGUUGAUAUCGGAAGGAACGCCGGUGGCGAAAGCGGUCCGCUGGGUCCCUACUGACGCUGAGGCGCGAAAGCCAGGGGAGCGAACGGGAUUAGAUACCCCGGUAGUCCUGGCCCUAAACGAUGGGUACUGGGUAGCAGGCCGUCACCGGCUUGCUGCCGCAGCCAAAGUGGUAAGUACCCCGCCUGGGGAGUAUGGUCGCAAGGCUGAA